AAGCACGAGUCAUAUCCUAUUUCUCGCGACCUUGUUCACUGAAGGUGUUCCUCCCUCCAAAAAUGCUUCGCCGUACGUUUCUGAGCGCUGAGCGCAGGAUUCCGUUCUACCCGAUCAACUCGAAUAACCCCAUCGUGUUCUUCGACAUCUCUAUCGGGUCGCAGCCGGCGGGACGUGUCGAGAUGGAGCUCUUCAAGGACGUCGUGCCGAAGACGGCCGAGAACUUCCGCGCGCUUUGCACCGGUGAGAAGGGUGUUGGCCGCUCUGGCAAGCCUCUCUGGUUCAAGGGAAGCCGUUUCCACCGCGUUAUUCCACAGUUCAUGUGCCAGGGUGGCGAUUUCACUGCCGGCAACGGCACCGGUGGCGAGUCCAUCUAUGGUCACAAGUUUCCUGAUGAGUCCUUUGCCGGACGCGCUGGAAGGCAUUUUGGCCCGGGCACGCUGUCAAUGGCCAAUGCCGGCCCCAACACGAACGGCUCUCAGUUCUUCAUCUGCACCGCUCCCACCGACUGGCUGGACGGGAAGCAUGUCGUGUUCGGCCAGGUCACCAAGGGCUAUGACGUCAUCAUGAAGGUGGAGACUCAGGGCAGCCAAUCUGGUGCUACCCGCCAGCCCAUCACGGUCACUGACUGUGGUGAGAUCAAGCAAGAGUAGGCAAACGAUACCGUAGGCCAUACACAUCAGAGGAGCACAGAUGAGUGUAGCCGCGGUAGCUCGAUCGUUUUCUUUUUGUCAAUAUCUAACGUUAUUCCAUUUCACAUAUAACAGGCUGUAGGAAUUUCUCUACUGGCUUUAACACGUGAACGGAACGGCGCCAG
rnacentral:misc_RNA from 1 species